AAGUGUUACAGCUCUUUUACUAUUUGUCUAGUAGGUGCUUACGCUGUUGGAGCCCUA
ensembl:snRNA U7 U7 small nuclear RNA